CAAACUCAAAAAGACCCCUUGAACACAAAAUAAAUUAGUUUUUCUUGAAUUUUUGUAUCACUUCACUGUUGGUUCGCUCAAUCUCAAGCUCGCUUCAUUGUUGGUUCCCUCGAGCUUGCUCAAGCUUCCAUGGCAGAAGCUUGAAGCCCUCUCUCUCCAUCUCUAUCUCUUCGCCCCUCUCUCUCUCUCUCUCUCUCCCUCUCUCCUUCUCUCUCUCAUUAGUUCAAACCUUAGAAAUUGGGGAUUCUUCCAAUAUCAAAGGUCAGUUUGCUUUUUCUAUUCCUUUUGUCUUUUGGUUUCAAUAAUUUUUUUGGAUAGCUGGGUUGUUGGUAAUGUGAGUUUAUGUUUAAAUUUGAUAAUGAGUUUCUUAUGUCUAGUAGAUAGAACCGCCUUACGUCUGGAUAUCAAGAACUUUCAAGGUUGAGAGGUACAAAGACAAAGAAAUCUAUUUUUUGCAUUCUUGAAUUAAACCAACUCUAGUUUGAAAGGGGAGACUCUAGUGUAUCCAAAAAUCUGGGUCAGGUUCAUCUUCUUCUUAAAUUAAACUAACUCUAAAUUUUUAUAGUUUGUGUAAUUUGUUAUUGUUGACAUUGAUCGUGAUGAUGAUGUGGAGGGUUGAGGAAGAUAAAUUGUAAUGGAAUAUUUGUAGAGAAUGAGAGUCCUGAAUCAAAUUGUAAAUUUCAUGUAUGUCUCUCAUUUUAAUUUUGCUUUUAACUCAUUUCCUAUGUUUGGUUGCUGGGAACAUUGAGGGGAAGGGAAAUUUUAUUUUCUCUAAUAGGCUAAUUGCGAUUGAUAGGAGUAAAAAAAAAAAAUCAAGAAUUUGAAUUGGGGAGUCAAAAAGUCAACAUGGGGGAGUGAAUUGAAUUGAAUUCACUAGAAUUAUGGAUCACCAUAAAUUUGCAUGAUACUACUCUUUUUAUUUAUCUUAUUUGGAAACAGCAAUUUUAAAGUGGGGCUUCGUUUAUAGCUUCAUGACUUAGUAAUUAAUGGGAGAUUGGAUUGGAGUUGUGAAAAUUUUUAAAUAGGUUCAAUGAUUAUGCAUGUGUUUCUAAAUUUUAAAAAUACAUAUUAAAAGCCAUGCUCUUUGUAUGAAAAACUUGUGGAUAUGCUCUCGUUCUUAUGCUUACUAGCUUCAAUGGCUUCAUUGCUUAAGAAGUCUCCCUUUAUUAUUAUUUUUUCUCCUGAUAUUCAAUUCUUUGGAAGAAAAAAAAAAUCUGUCUUUUGAGUUUUAUUGUUUUGAUUGCCUCAUGCUCAGUCAUGUAAUAUUUAGACUCGAAGAAUUAUGUAAUUACCAUUCAAAUUCUGGCCAUUUUCAUUAUAUAUGUAUGUAGGAUAAUGCUAUUUUAUCAGACAGUCGGACUGUUAAUGAGAACUGUUGAUAAGGUGAAAUCAUGUUUGAAUUUGCAGUCGUAAUUGGCAUUCUAAGAACCUAAUAGUGGUUGGUAGCAUAUGAUAAAGAGAACAUUAUAUACAUACAUUGUGUGUGUUGCAUAUCUAUCGAUGUAGCAAACUUGGACAUGCAUGAUGAAUUUAUUGUUGAUCUCCAUCUUAAUUGUAAGCCUAAUUUUUAGCUAUUUUUUGAAGUUUCUUACUUGUUCUUCUCCAUUGAGUCUUACACAUUUGUUUAGAUACUAUGUUGUUCUUUUUGGGUCAUAGUUCGUGUUUUUUUCUUUACACUUGUAAUUAUUUACUUGGCAGGUUCUGAAUCUCGCAUUCAAGCAACACCUUUGGCUGGUGAUGCUUCCCAUACUUUCUUCUCAAGUUCAAAGGCCUCAACCACCACCACCUUAUGAGGAAAAGCUUCUCUUUAACCCGAACAAACAUCGGUGUCCAAAGAGGAGAUUGAGGCCAUUUUGGUAUGAGGAACUUUCCUUUUUUUCUCAAGAAUUUCUACACUCAUGAUUUGAUUCAUCAAAUUUCCCUUCAAUGAAUUCUGCAGCCUUAAGUGCUUCCUCUGUUUUGUGAUUUUAAUCACUAUUGAGGCUUAAAAAAUAAUCAACUGUAUAAAAAGGAUAAUGCUUGCCUCUUGACUGGCUGUUGGUGCGGCAUGCAUUUAUUAGUAUAAAGUGGUGAAAAUUGCUAAAGCGGCUAAUGUUGUGAAAGUGGUGGUUUCAUCAGUUUCACCAAUAGUGAAUAAAAUUAUGCUAAGUCAGCAGUCGUGAGGAAAUUUCUCCUCACCAUUUAAGAGACAAGUAUUAUUCACCUAGAAGCUAUAGUCUAUGAUGAAUAGUGAUUUUUUUAACUCGUGAGUUAUUAGUGAUAUGGUCUAAGAGACAAAUUUAUUAUCUGUCUUUUCUUUAGCCUAUAAUGCUUAUCUUUAUUUACCAUGUUUUUCUUAUUCCUUGUUAUAUUUGUCUUUGUUAUAGAGGAUGGACUCAAAUGAAGUUGACAACACUCAUUCAAGUUCUGCAAGUGAUUCAUUAUCUCAUUCAAGUUCUGAAAGGGAUUCAUCAUCCGAUUUGGAUGAUUCACUUGGAGAGUUGCUUUUAAUUAUAAAACUAAAUGAAUAUCACUCGCGUUUACAUAAAGAGCCAUGUUUGACUUCACAACUCUCAGGUCACCCAUUUGUGAUAGAGUUGUUGCAUGGAUAUCCAAAUAGAUUAUUUAAUUUUGCUAGAAUGGAUAAGAACACAUUUAUGAAUUGUGUUCGACAUUGAGGGACUUGGAUUUCUUACAAGAUGAUAGAUCAAUUUGUCUCGAAGAGUCAGUGUGCAUGUUUUUGCAUAC
rnacentral:lncRNA from 1 species